CUAUGCUAGGUGGGGAGGUAGCGGUGCCCUGUAUCUGCAAUCCGCUAUAGCAGAACUGAAUUCCCAGUAUGAGGUCUGUUUUUGUGGGGACUGUCCCAAGUACGAAGCGUUGAUAGUCGGGUCUUGAGCAACGGGAACUUGUUGAACCCCGUCAGGUCUGGAAGGAAGCAGCGGCAGAUAAGGUUUCUCGUGUGACGCAAGGUAGCCUGGUUUGAGCUAACGACUUGGGCAACGCCCGGAAAGGCUUGUCGAGUUUGGGUGCAUAG
rnacentral:SRP_RNA from 1 species